UGUCAUUCAAACUCUGUAAAUACAGAGUAAGAGUUGCUCAUUAGUAACAAGCGUGUGGGUGGCUCAGGCUAUGGCAUGCCAGACAUCAAGGUACUCUGUAACUCUUCAGGAACGUCUCUGUGUCUUCUCACAUAGCUACUGCAGAUCAACUUCAACCACUACAGCACAUCUCAAACUGAAACCUGUACUCUGAAUCAGAAGUGCCAAGGAAAUGCACAGAUACAAGGACCAAAAUUAUUUAUUGCUUUCUUCUGAUGCCUGGCCUGUUGGAUUUUCAAGGAUGGAGGAGUCUGCUUCUUUUCCUGUGGCUGUAGUUUUACCUAUGCACAGGAAAAAUUAGCCAGAACAGUAGCUUCAGUACUAAAAUUACUCCGACAGUGAGACAGACACAACUGGUCUUUUUAAAUGAAGAGAAAUGAGGUAUAACAAGCUUUCUUGGGUGGCACAGAAACUCUUUGAUAGUAGAAAAGCUUAAUCUGUUCUUGAUUUUGCCAAACACUAGUAGGACACAGAAUGGUUU